GACGAACUGGCCGAGGCGGUCGCCGCGAACGCCCGCCGCGCGUUCGCGCUCUAGAGUUCCACGCCCCAGUCCGCCA
rnacentral:tRNA from 1 species